UCUGAUAAUAAAUGAAGCAAAGUAUUCAUGCUAAACUGGACCAGGAACUGGACCAAAAUGCAAAAUUCAUUGCGACAUAGUGGGACUGUAUAAUCUGAAGGCAAGUGGAAUGAAGAUCAGAGUUCUUAUACUGCACCGGGUGAUCGGUGGAGAUGAGCUGUAGGUGUGCCAGGGACCUGAAAGCAGUGUCAAUGCAGUGACUCGCACAACCCCUCCUCCACCCCAAUCUCCUCCAGUCCUGAGAAGAACAUUCAUCACCUCUUCCGGAUCCCGAUGACAACCGAUCACGGACUAAGGUGGCAGCUGACUGCCUGACAACAGACUGUUACUCGUGGCAUCCAUUGCACUUCUGUCCAUCCUGGAAGAGGGAUCCCUUGCAUGCGGCUCUUCCUGAGGUUUCUACGUUUUUUCCCUCAAGAAGGGUUUUUUCGUAGUUUUUCCUUACUCUUGUGAGGGUUAAGGACAGAGGACGUCACACUUAGGAAGUCCAAUAAGACAAUGCUCAUACAUGGACCACAAACGAUUGACCAAUGAACCACCACCAGUGUGUAGACCCCGGGGGGGUAUUCCUGUAAGACGUUCUGCUACACCCCCUUCUAAUCCUGAUGACAUCACACAGGGGUCUAAAAUGCCAAAGACUAUAAAUAUUAGCAUUCUCUGUGCACUGUAAAUAAUAGAUUUGUUAAAGUAAAAACCAAGUCUCUCCUGA